rnacentral:tRNA from 1 species
AUCUAAUUCCUUCGGGAGCGUAGGUUCGAACCCUACUGCUGACG